rnacentral:rRNA from 1 species
CCUACGGGAGGCAGCAGUAGGGAAUCUUUCACAAUGGGCGAAAGCCUGAUGGAGCAACGCCGCGUGCAGGAUGAAGGCCUUCGGGUUGUAAACUGCUUUUAUAAGCGAGAAAUAUGAUGGUAACUUAUGAAUAAGGAUCGGCUAACUACGUGCCAGCAGCCGCGGUCAUACGUAGGAUACGAGCAUUAUCCGGAGUGACUGGGUGUAAAGAGUUGCGUAGGUGUCAUAAUAAGUAGCUAGUGAAAUCUGGUGGCUCAACCAUUCAGACUAUUAGCUAAACUGUUAAGCUCGAGACCGUUAGGGGUAACUGGAAUUUCUAGUGUAGGAGUGAAAUCCGUAGAUAUUAGAAGGAACACCAAUAGCGUAGGCAGGUUGCUGGGACGGUUCUGACACUAAGGCACGAAAGCGUAGGGAGCAAACGGGAUUAGAUACCCCUGUAGUC